UAGGCACAAAGACGGUUCGGCUGCCGU
rnacentral:sRNA from 1 species